rnacentral:rRNA from 1 species
AACGAACGCUGGCGGCAUGCCUAACACAUGCAAGUCGAACGAUGCUUUCGGGCAUAGUGGCGCACGGGUGCGUAACGCGUGGGAAUCUGCCCUUGGGUUCGGAAUAACAGUGAGAAAUUGCUGCUAAUACCGGAUGAUGUCUUCGGACCAAAGAUUUAUCGCCCAGGGAUGAGCCCGCGUAGGAUUAGCUAGUUGGUGGGGUAAUGGCCUACCAAGGCGACGAUCCUUAGCUGGUCUGAGAGGAUGAUCAGCCACACUGGGACUGAGACACGGCCCAGACUCCUACGGGAGGCAGCAGUGGGGAAUAUUGGACAAUGGGCGCAAUCCUGAUCCAGCACUGCCGCGUGAGUGAUGAAGGCCUUAGGGUUGUAAAGCUCUUUUACCCGGGAUGAUAAUGACAGUACCGGGAGAAUAAGCUCCGGCUAACUCCGUG